UACGAAGGGGGCUAGCGUUGCUCGGAAUCACUGGGUGUAAAGGGUGCGUAGGCGGGUCUUUAAGUCAGGGGUGAAAUCCUGGAGCUCAACUCUGGAACUGCCUUCGAAACUAGAGGACUUGGGUACGGGAGAGGUGAGUGGAAUUCCGAGUGUAGAGGUGAAAUUCGUAGAUAUUCGGAAGAACACCAGUGGCGAAGGCGGCUCACUGGCCCGUUACCGACGCUCAGGCGCGACAGCGUGGGGAGCAAACAGG
rnacentral:rRNA from 1 species